rnacentral:rRNA from 1 species
CCCUUAGAUGUUCUGGGCGGCCCGCGCACUACAAUGGCGCUUUCAGCGAGUUCCUAUGUUGAAUUUUCCUGGGUAUUCUUGGAAGCGGCGUCUUGACUUGGGAUAGAUCCUUGUAAUUGUUGGUUUUGAACGAGGAAUUCCUUGUAAUCGCGGUUGAUCAGCUCGCGUUGAAUACGUCCCUGCCCUUUGUACACACCGCCCGUCGCUCCUACCGAUGAAUCGUCCGGUGAAGUUCACAGAGUGGCGGUUCGUGGAGUUGCUCGCGAAAUGAAAUGGACCUCACGAUUUAGAGGAAGGAGAAGUCGUAACA